rnacentral:tRNA from 1 species
CAGGGAGACAAACAAUGAUUAUGAUGUCUAAAUUUUUAUUUUUAGGCCAUAAUCCUGUCACCUUAGGUCGAUCGGUACCUCAGGUUAGAAGCCAAAGAAAAUUGGUCCUUGAUUUCAGUUCCUAAACUUGUCUAGGUCACACCCAGCAAGGGUACUCCUGGGCCAUUAGCUCAGGUGGUUAGGGCGCACCCCUGAUAAGGGUGAGGUCCCUGGUUCAAGUCCAGGAUGGCCCAUUCGAUGUUGGGGGUAUAGCUCAGUUGGUAGAGCGCCUGCUUUGCAAGCAGGAUGUCAGCGGUUCGAGUCCGCUUACCUCCACUGAUCGACCUCCUGAUUAGAAACUCCAAGGAGAUUGGCUUUGUUUCCGUGACUUAGACAUUUGCUAACAAAAUGAACCUAGCUUCAUAUCAUCCCGCUUACUAGCUUGAAAAAUUAGUGAGGCUUGAUAAGACGCUGGGCUCACUCAGAUUCAAUUGAGAAUCUGGAGAUGUUCAGCAGAACCUUGACAACUGCAUAGGUAAGUUUGAAAAGAAUAAAGCAUCUCAUUGAUGCGUUAUUCAUUGAGCAUAUUUUUUUAUUUGCUGAAUGAAUAAUGUUUGAUUCUUGAGCAAGAGCAAAGACUCCAUAAUUGCUUUUUACUUUUAAUUAGUAAGAAGUUUGUUUAAUUUAAACCUAAUUACUUUUCAAAUUAAAAUUAUUUGAGAGGUAUUUACUAAAUUUAAAUUAAUGAAUUGUGGAGAUUAAU